rnacentral:rRNA from 1 species
UACAGGAGGGUGCGAGCGUUUGUCCGGAAUCACUGGGCGUAAAGGGCGCGUAGGUGGCGAUCCAAGUCCAUGGUGAAAGCUCGAUGCUCAACAUCGAGUCGGCCACGGAUACUGGGUUGCUUGAGCACUGUAGGGGCAGAUGGAAUUCCGGGUGUAGCGGUGGAAUGCGUAGAGAUCCGGAAGAACACCGGUGGCGAAGGCGGUCUGCUGGGCAGUUGCUGACACUGAGGCGCGACAGCGUGGGGAGCAAACAGG